rfam:Dipodomys ordii contig_68339, whole genome shotgun sequence.
GGUGGCUCAGUGGUAGAGUGCUUGCCUCGCAUGCAUAAGGCCCUGGGUUCGAUUCCUCAGCACCA